rfam:Branchiibius sp. NY16-3462-2 contig_4, whole genome shotgun sequence.
UCGAUCGCGCUGACCGGUGGUCUUCAGCUGCCCAGCGCGUUCCGACAUCACUUCCCCGAUGCCGGAACGAGCGACCCGGCGGCUGGGGACCAGCGACCAGCGCGAAGCACAUC